CUGUUUCCCUGGAGCCACCGGCUGGGCCCAUUGCACCCCUGAAUCGACACACAACAACAACAGCUCCUGAAUUCCAGGGACAUUGACUGUCCAGUGAUGGCCAAUCAGCUUUCCCCUUUCUCCUCCUCCCUUCACUCCAGCCCUGAGGAAAGCUGUUGGAAUUGAGAGACGAAGAAUUGGGAAGUGUUUCCCUGGAUCAAGGUGAAAGGCAGCGAGGAGGUUGCACAAGAAGGGAGGCUUUCUCUUCCGGGGAACUAUGGGCUGAAUGCGUCAGGUGUAGGAGAUGGGAGGCCUGCAAGGGAUCUGGCCUUAUUGGAGAAAAGGGGUCAGUCAACCAGGGCCUCAAGACCCUGGACAGAACGGGAAAAGCCAUAGGCUGCCUCUCUGAUAUCCUCACUACCAGCAGCAGUGAUUCAAGUCAAGGAAACGAGGACCUAAUAACACUGUAAAAGGAAGGCAGGUCCCUCAUGGAUUCUCCAGCAAACACAGAAACCUCCAUCAAUCAAGAAUUGCUUUCCAAAGAGGCCGCCUGGUGUACACCUGGUUGUAGAUGUUGCUGCUGUUUCAUGGAGGUGCUGAGUGGGGCCUAUCUGCUACUGCUGGUGACUGUCCUCAUCACCCUACUCAGGUAUUUUCUAGAGUUUCCUGCCAUCAUGAAAGGAUUUGGCAUUUUCCAAAGUGCCAACACCAUCUCUGUCCCUAGGGAGUCCUAAGCUGAGAAGGGGACUCUAGGCAGGUCUCUCUGGAUCUAGACUUCUCCACCAGCAGCCUCUUUCCCUCAGCACACAGUAGGCUCACUGGAGAGCUAGACACUCCUGACUGAGGCCCCAGUACUUUUGACCAGCCAGCUUUUAGGGACUCUGAUCUGAUACCCUAGGUCCAUGGCCUUCUGCCAUUCAUGUGUGCUAUCAAUCAAGCCUGAUCUGUGGAUCAAUGAUAUACAGAGGAAAUAUUGGGCUAGAAGUUUGAGGACCUGGCAUAGUAGUGAGUAUUCUGGGUUUGGAGUCUGCAGGCCAGGUGUGAUUCUUGACUCUGCUGUUUAAUGUGUGACCUUGGCCAAGUCAUUUUAUCUCUCUGAGCCUCAGUUUCCUUCUCUGUAAAAUAAAGGGGUUGGACUGGAGGGCCUCUCUGGUCUCUACAAGCUCUGAUUUUCUGUUACCAGCUCCAUGGCAUGAGGGCUAAGCUAAGCAGGGCUGGCCAGGUGGAAAUCAGUGGGCCUUCCUGAGAGAUCAGGCAUGCAGGCAACAAGCAUUUAUUAAGCACUUACUGUGUGCUAGGGACUGUAUUAAGAGCUAACUUUGGCUUUUAGGACUCCGGUUCCACGGUCCUACAACCCAGCUUGGGCUCUAAUGAUAUAGGGAACUCAGAACCCCUGGAACAGGGCCCACAAUGCCCUGGAGAUUCAAGGGACAAGGUAACUGUCAGAGCAGAGGGGCAGUGGUCACUGACCAGGCAUCUGGGCCCUGUGCUGGAUUCAGUGCUGGGGAGGCCCUGAAAGUCCUUCUGGUCCUGAGGCUUGGGGAGAGGGGGACAAGGGGAAGCUGGGGUCUUCUGGGACUGCCACAUCCAAGCCCCUGCAUCUUCCUUACAAGCCCUGGCCUUCGUCUGGCAUCCUUACUCUCACCUCCAUGCCUCUAACACUAACCACCAUGUUCCAGGCCUGCUCCCCAUCACCGAUUCAUCCUUCCCUCUUCUCUUUCCUCAUCCCCCCAUCAGAAUCUCCCUUUUCCCAAGCAGCUCUGCCUUCUCUUCAAGGACUGUUGAGUACUGGCAAUUCCUUGCAGGUCUGGAAUAGUGUAAGGGAAAAAGUCGGGGGGGAGGGAUCUCCUGGUGUGGAGGGGUCAGUUUCUCUCUAUACCAGGGCCAGUUCUUCAAGCUAGAGGUUCCACAGCUUACUCUCAGGGAGCCCCUGGGCUGGUAGGGGAAGUCUCAGUGCCUGGCACAUAGUAGGUGCUUAAUGAAUGUCUGCUCUUAGGGAGUUCCUGGUCUGAUGGAGAAGUUACUCAAAAAGAUACAACUUAGACAAGAAACAUGUAAAUGAACACAAAUCAAUGGCUUCCGUGUGUGCGGGAGAGAAAUGAUCUAGGAGAUAGGGAGGCAGAGUGAGGGGAGGAGGAAGGUCCAGAGGCCACAGACUCCACAUGACACCAAAGCCAGAUCUUUGGGCAGUGGCCUCCCCCUACAGGUCACUUCACGUACUGCCCAACCCCCAGAGCCAGGCGGCCAACCCCUACUGUUUGUUACUAGGUUCCAUUUAAGGCUGUCUUGGCCAUCUUCUUGGCACUUUCAGACUUGUCUUAUUAACAGCAGGUCAUUGUAUGCUCAACUAGAUAACCUGGACAGCCUGUGAUCCACCUUGGUAGACAGCAGGGCUAGCAGAGAAAGCUUUUUCCUCCCUUUACCAGCUAGGACUAGUGCAGGCAGCAAGCUUCCUCAAGCCGGGCUGGCUGAGGCUUAGCCACAAACGCCAAUGUGGGCCAAUGUGCUCAGAGCUUAAAGAGAGUAAGGUAGCAAGCCUCCAAAAAUGGAAGGGAGGGGAUCAUUUCCUUACACUGUUUGUGAGCCUGCUUUUCUGAGAAAUCAGUGGCAGGGGCGAGAUGAGUUCUCCUAGCCUGGUGAUUCCGAAGCAACAAGAAGCAGCGGAGAAGACUGGGAAGGUAUAUUAGUAGUGUGGUCAAGGUCAUUCAUCCUGAAUGAUUUUUGGUCAAUUGAGGAAAGACAAAAAUGGUAAACGCUGGUGGGUCUGUGGGAGACAGGCACACACAUGCACUGUUGGGACAGCCAUAUGAACUGGCCCAACUAUUUUGGAAAAUUUGGAAUUUUACUAGGCAUAUACUUCCAGGUUGUCAAAGACAGAGGGAAAGGUAACAGACAGAACAAUAGAUAUAGAUAUAUCAGCAUAUAUAUCCCCUCCCUCAAUCAUUCAGCGCUGGCGAAGUAGAGGCAAAGCGGGUAAGGCUGAUUGGCCAAAGGCAGAAUAAACUGUGGCAUCUGAACGUGAUUAGGACAUAAUGAGAAAUCUGAAGAAUUUGGAGAAGCUUGGGACAACCUGUCCGCAUAGAGCUAAGCAAGCAGAACCAGGAGAACAAUGUCAUGAGAUAUCUGUGAUAAUGUCAAGGACACCAGUGGUGAAAGACUUCAGAAUUGGGAUCCAUGCAGUGCCGGAUCCCGAGGCUGGGAACUGGUGCCGGGGAAGCAGCCCUCUGCUUCUGGGCAGAGAGGAGAAACAGACAUUUCACAGGCGGAUAAAGCAGGGGUGGGGAAUCUUCCUCUCGAGGCCAAACUUCAUAUAUUCAGUCAAAGGGCCACACUCCAAGACCUGAAGGGCCCACACGGUCCCCACCCCUGGGCUGAAGGGUUCAGAUUUGCUUCUUUCUAUUUAUGUUAUAAAGGACGGUUCUACUGGGGGGAAAUGGGCACAUGACAAGGACGCUUUUUAGGGGAAAAGCUUCAUUCCUUUCAACUGAGUCAAACGACAUUUUCUUGUCUGCUGCAUCCAAAGAUGCAUCUUCAUAUGUCUUUAUGCUCCCCCAGACGGCAACACCCCAGCAUGAGAAGGGUAUCGAUAGCGCCAGACAACUCCUCUCCUUAGUAAGCUGUGUUUUUCCCCUGGAAGGGAUCCAUCUAUUUCCCUAGGGAACCCUGGCCCUGAUUGCCACUUCCCCACCCCAGCCCUUGCUAGUAUUUCUUUUUUGGAGAGGCCCUCUGGCCUUUCCUUAAAUCUCUGCUCUAAGAGGAAGUGGCCUCACAAGGAAGCACAAGGAAGAUUCAGGUGGGUCUUUUUGAGGAGCCUGGUUUCUCCCUACAAUGGCCAGUGUUCCUGUCCCCAUCAAUACAGCCACCAGGCCAAUAAGGAAUCCAGAUGGGAAUGACUAGGAACCCAUCCCAGCUCAUCUGUCUUGAAGCAAGUCAGCCCAGGGAACCAAAAGCUGUUUAUCCUAGAGCUCUACCCAGAAGGACCUCUGUUCCACGUGCUGGAAGCCUAGGAGAACACACCCUGUAGCCAGGCGGGAUGGAAGCGCCUCUCUCCUCUGGCAGAUGUCUCAGCAAAUGGGCUCCACUGCCAAAUUUCAAUUCUUAGAAGCUUGUGGUUGCCCCUCUCUGCCUCCCUCCCCCAACACUGGAAGAACUUCCUCUCUAGAUUUGAGAAGAAAGCCACUUGUUAAUAUGUCAAACAAGUCUAAAUGAACCAAAGGAAAGUGUCCUACAUGGAUCCCUGCUAUUCCCAGUCUUUCCCUGAAGAUAAAACUGCAGCUGGCAAAGCCUCGAGCAAAAAGAGAACCACUCCCUUCUAGGACUGGACGCUUUACUUGCACGCUGCAGUACUGGUAACGAUGCCUAGCAGAAAGAGAGGGCUGUGCGUGUUGGUCCAGCCCAUGGCAGCGUCCAUUCCCUAAGCCCCUUCAAAGCAGGCUGUGCCCACUGGCCAGGGCUCAGCGUUCCAGCCCUCCUCUCUGCUAAAAAAGAAAACAAGCGUCAAGGACCUGUGUUGGAGCUUUACAUUUUUAAUAAAAAAUAAUUAACACAGUACAUUGGUCCAAACUCCCAGGGAUCAUGCUUCACUAUAAAAUUUAUGUUGACCUAGCUCAUUAGCUCGAGGCCAGAAAAGGUUGGGAGAACACGGUGUGAUAGUCUGAGAAACGAAGGGCAAAGGUACACACGCACAAAGGCUAAUAUGCAAAACACCAAA